CAAUCCGGCAAGCGACAGUUCCGGGUUCGAGUCCCGGUCUAGUAAAUUGCGAGAGCUCUCUUUCUAAUCCGUCCAAAGCAUUUUCCAUUUUCAUUUAAUUUAUUUCCAUCUUGUGACAUGUUGUGAUGCCCUGUUAAGUUUCUACGACUUAAUAGGGUUUCUCUACAUGUCAUCCAUGUGACAAUCGUAUUUCAUUAACAUUUAUAUUGCUUUGCUGUAUACAUUGCUUUGCUUAUAUUACUUUACUGUAUGCUUUAUUAACAGUUCAUAUAUAUAACUAAUAUAUAUAACAUAAACAUUUAAUAAUAACGGUUAAAAGUUCCUCGCUGUACUUAAAGAUAUGUAAUACGUUGAAUUGCCUCAGAUCUGCCUUCGUAGAUCUGAUGGUAGCCGUAUUGCAUCAGUAGUUAAGAUUAGAGAGCUUUCAAAAAUUGGCUGGAUAGCUUAAUUGUGACAUCUAAAGCGGUCGCCCGAAGAACGACAGUUCCGGGUUCGAGUCCCGGUCUAGUAAAUUGCGAAAGCUCUCCUUCUAGUCCAAAGCAUCUGCAUUUUCAUUUAAUUUAUUUCCAUCUUGUAACAUGUUGUGAUGCCCUGUUAAGUUUCUACGACUUAAUAGGGUUUCUCUACAUGUCAUCCAUGUGACAAUAGUAUUUAAUUAACAUUUAUAUUGCUUUGCUGUAUAUACAAUGCUUUACUAACAGCUGACAUAUAUAACUAACAUAUAUAACAUAAAUACUUAAUAAUAAUGGGAAAAGUACCGCGCUGCAUUUAAUAAGUAUUAAUUAAUAUGCAAUACGUUGAAUUGCCUCGGAUCUGCCUUCGAAGAUCUGAUGGUAGCCGUAUUGCAUCAGUAGAUAACAUUAGAGAGCUUUCAAAAAUUGGCUGGGUAGCUUAAUUGUGACAUCUAAAGCGGUCGCCUGAAGAACGACAGUUCCGGGUUCGAGUCCCGGUCUAGUAAAUUGCGAAAGCUCUCUUUCUAAUCCGUCCAUAACAUGUCAUUUUCAUUUAAUUUAUUUGCAUCUACUGACAUGUAGUGAUGCCCUGUUAAGUUUCUACGACUUAAUAGGGUUUCUCUGCAUGUCAUUCAUACAACAAGUAAUCAAUUAAUAUUUAUAUUGCUUAUAUUUAUUUGCUGUAUAUAAAUGCUUUAUUAACAGCUGCCAUAUAGAACUAACAUAUACAACAUAAACACUUAUUAGUAAAAAACAAAAUUAUCACCAUUUGUGUUCUGUGCAUUCUGAAAUGUGCCAUAUUAGAUUACCUAUAUUACGUAUAUCGUAUUACGGUGUAUUGAGUUACCAAAUUUAUUUAUUAGAUUAAUAUGCAAUACGUUGAAUUUCCUCAGAUUUGCCUUCGUAGAUCUGAUGGUAGCCGUAUUGCAUCAGUAGUUAAGAUUAGAGAGCUUUCAAAAAUUGGCUGGAUAGCUUAAUUGUGACAUCUAAAGCGGUCGCCCGAAGAACGACAGUUCCGGGUUCGAGUCCCGGUCUAGUAAAUUGCGAGAGCUCUCUUUCCGUCCAUUAAGUCUUCUAACAUUCCAACUCAUUCCAAUUUUAGGAUUUAUUACAAUCACCAACAUAUCAUAGAUAUAUAUUGUGUGUGUAUGUGUUCUGCUGUAUAUAACGGCUUUCAAUAUUAAAUAAGAAAUAAAUAUUACUAGGUCGUCGCACCUAGUCGUCUCACACAGUCUUUCAUAGUUGAUAAAGCAAAUAAAUAAAAUGCAAUAUGCGCUUGUAGGAUCUACUUUGGUAGGUCUGAUAGUACACGCAUAUUGCACUAGUAAGAAAUAUUAGAGAGCUUUCUAAAAUUGUCUAGAUAGCUUAAUUGUGACAUCUAAAGCGGUCGCCCGAAGAACGACAGUUCCGGGUUCGAGUCCCGGUCUAGGAAAUUGGCGAAAGCUCUUUUUCCGUCCAUUAGAAACUUAGUCUUCCAUUUGCAUAUAAUUUUUCACCUUUCUUAAAAAUGCGGAGAAGUAUAUGUAUAUGUGUCUAUUCAUAUAUAUAUAUAUUACUGUGUGUGUGCCGAGGUAUAUAUUUCGGUACAUGUAUAUUUCUGUUUAUUAAAUUCCGUUCUGCUGUUAAUACACUGCUUUGUAUUAGGACAUAAUAUUAUAUUACUGUGGAAAAGGUAGAGGGGACCAAUCUAAAAUUAAGCAAUAAUUAGAAACAAUAUGCUCUUGUCGUUUCGUAUCUACUUUGUAGGUCUGAUCGACUUGGUAGGCAUAUUGUGUAAGUAAUUAAUCUCUUAGAGAGCUUUCAAAAAUUGACUAGGUAGCUUAAUAGUGACAUUUAAAGCGGUCGCCCGAAGAACGACAGUUCCGGGUUCGAGUCCCGGUCUAGCAAAUUGGCGAAAGCUCUUUUUCCGUCCAUUAGAAACUUGGUCUUCCAUUUGCAUAUACUUUUUCACCUUUCUUACAAUUGCGCCAAGUAUAUGUAUAUGUGUCUAUUCAUAUAUAUAUAUAUAACUGUGUGUUGUGCCGAGGUAUAUAUUUCGGCACAUGUAUAUUUCUGUUUAUUAAAUUCCGUUCAGCUGUUAUUACACUGCUUUGUAUUAGGACAUAAUAUUAUAUCACUGUGGGAAAGGUAGAGCGAACACCAAUCUAAAAUUAGCCAAUAGUUAGAAACAAUAUGCUCUUGUCGUUUCGUAUCUACUUUGUAGGUCUGAUCGACUUGGUAGGCAUAUUGUGUAAGUAAUUAAUCUUUGAGAGCUUUCAAAAAUUGACUAGGUAGCUUAAUAGUGACAUUUAAAGCGGUCGCCCGAAGAACGACAGUUCCGGGUUCGAGUCCCGGUCUAGUAAAUUGGCGAAAGCUCUUUUUCCGUCCAUUAGAAACUUAGUCUUCCAUUUGCAAAUAAUUUUUCACCUUUCUUACAAAUGCGGACAAGUAUGUGUAUAUGUGUCUAUACAUAUAUAUAUAUAACUGUGUGUGUGCCGAGGUAUAUAUUUCGGCACAUGUAUAUUUCUGUUUAUUAAAUUCCGUUCUGCUGUAAUUAUAUUGCUUUGUAUAUUAGGACAUAAUUAAUUUAAAUUACUGGCUACAAAUACUGCCUUUUUAGAAAUAGUUAGAAACAAUAUGCUCUUGUCGUUUCGCAUCUACUUGGUAGGUCUGAUCGACUUGGAAGGCAUAUUGUGUAAGUAAUUAAUCCUAGAGAGUUUUCAAAAAUUGACUAGGUAGCUUAAUAGUGACAUUUAAAGCGGUCGCCCGAAGAACGACAGUUCCGGGUUCGAGUCCCGGUCUAGUAAAUUGGCGAAAGCUCUUUUUCCGUCCAUUAGAAACUUAGUCUUCCAUUUGCAAAUAAUUUUUCACCUUUCUUACAAAUGCGGACAAGUAUGUGUAUAUGUGUCUAUACAUAUAUAUAUAUAACUGUGUGUGUGCCGAGGUAUAUAUUUCGGCACAUGUAUAUUUCUGUUUAUUAAAUUCCGUUCUGCUGUAAUUAUAUUGCUUUGUAUAUUAGGACAUAAUUAAUUUAAAUUACUGGCUACAAAUACUGCCUUUUUAGAAAUAGUUAGAAACAAUAUGCUCUUGUCGUUUCGCAUCUACUUGGUAGGUCUGUGAUCGACUUGGAAGGCAUAUUGUGUAAGUAAUUAAUCCUAGAGAGCUUUCAAAAAUUGACUAGGUAGCUUAAUAGUGACAUUUAAAGCGGUCGCCCGAAGAACGACAGUUCCGGGUUCGAGUCCCGGUCUAGUAAAUUGCUCGAAAGCUUUCUUUCCGUGCAAUAGAUACUCUACUAGUCGUUUAUAGAUUUGAUUCGGUGCUUUCGUAUGACUCAAGUAGUCUUUUACUACAAGUACAAGUGGCAAUACAAGUGGCAAUACAAGUAAAAGUAGCAAUACAAGCGGCAAUACAAGUUACAGUUCCGGGUUCGAUUCCCGGAUGUUAAUUUAUAGAAAGUUGCUUACGUUAGCAAUGUAUCUGUAACAUUCUUAUCGCAAUUCUUAUCUCGUUAUUAAGUUAAACUUAAGUUAUAAAUUAAAUUUAUAUUGGAAUUAUUAUAUUUAUAUUGUAAUUUAUUGUAUUUAUUCUAGUUAUAUGCAACGAUAUCAAUGCAAAUUUCGCUCAUCUUUGAAUUCCUCAAUAUAUAUCUUUCAUUAAUUAUCACUCACAUCUAUACAAAUUCCAUUCAUCAGAAUACAAAGAGUUCAAAGUAGGGAUAGUGGCAAUUACAACGAAAAUGAAUCUGGUGCAAUAUACCAAGGUGCAAUAUACCAAGGUGCAAUAUACCAAGGUGCAAUAUACCAAGGUGCAAUAUACCAAGGUGCAAUAUACCAAGAUGCAAUAUAGAGCUUUCAACAAUUAACUGGGUAGCUUAAUUGUGACAUCUAAAGCAGUCGCCCGAAGUAAU